rnacentral:rRNA from 1 species
AUUGAACGCUGGCGGCAUGCCUUACACAUGCAAGUCGAACGGCAGCAUGGGUGCUUGCACCUGAUGGCGAGUGGCGAACGGGUGAGUAAUGCAUCGGAACGUACCCGGAAGUGGGGGAUAACGUAGCGAAAGUUACGCUAAUACCGCAUAUUCUGUGAGCAGGAAAGCGGGGGAUCGCAAGACCUCGCGCUUCCGGAGCGGCCGAUGUCGGAUUAGCUAGUUGGCGGGGUAAAGGCCCACCAAGGCAACGAUCCGUAGCGGGUCUGAGAGGAUGAUCAGCCACACUGGGACUGAGACACGGCCCAGACUCCUACGGGAGGCAGCAGUGGGGAAUUUUGGACAAUGGGGGCAACCCUGAUCCAGCCAUACCGCGUGAGUGAAGAAGGCCUUCGGGUUGUAAAGCUCUUUCGGCUGGGAAGAAAUCGCAUCUCCUAAUACGGGGUGUGGAUGACGGUACCAGCAUAAGAAGCACCGGCUAACUACGUGCCAGCAGCCGCCGCGGUAA